rnacentral:rRNA from 1 species
UACGUAGGGGGCAAGCGUUGUCCGGAAUCAUUGGGCGUAAAGCGCGUGUAGGCGGCCCGGUAAGUCCGUUGUGAAAGUCAAAGGCUCAACCUUUGAAAGCCGAUGGAUACUGCGGAGCUAGAGUACGGAAGAGGCGAGUGGAAUUCCUGGUGUAGCGGUGGAAUGCGCAGAUAUCAGGAGGAACACCAAUAGCGAAGGCAGCUCGCUGGGACGUUACUGACACUAAGGCGCGAAAGCGUGGGGAGCGAACAGG